rnacentral:rRNA from 1 species
GACAGAGGAUGCAAGCGUUAUCCGGAAUGAUUGGGCGUAAAGCGUCUGUAGGUGGUCAAAUAAGUCAACUGUUAAAUCUUGAGGCUCAACCUCAAAAUCGCAGUCGAAACUAUUCGACUAGAGUAUAGUAGGGGUAAAGGGAAUUUCCAGUGGAGCGGUGAAAUGCGUAGAGAUUGGAAAGAACACCGAUGGCGAAGGCACUUUACUGGGCUAUUACUAACACUGAGAGACGAAAGCUAGGGUAGCAAAUGGG